UAGGAAUUGGCGGGGGAGCACAGCGACGGGUGGAGCGUGCGGUUUAAUUGGAUUCAACGCCGGAAAACUCACCGGAGGCGACGGUUACAUGAAAGCCAGGCUGAUGACCUUGCUCGAUUUUCCGAGAGGUGGUGCAUGGCCGCCGUCAGUUCGUACCGUAAGGCGUUCUGUUAAGUCAGACAACGAACGAGACCCUCAUCUUUAAUUGCUACUGGUAAGUCCGCUUAUCAGGCACAUUAAAGAAACCGCUGGCGAUAAGUCAGAGGAAGGCGAGGGCAACGGUAGGUCAGUAUGCCCUGAAUCCUCCGGGCUACACGCGCGCUACAAAGGCCAGGACAAUGGGCUUCGACACCGAAAGGUGAAGGUAAUCUCGAAACCUGGUCAUAGUUCGGAUCGAGGGUUGAAACUCACCCUCGUGAAGCUGGAAUCCGUAGUAAUCGCAGAUCAACAUCCUGCGGUGAAUAUGCCCCUGCUCCUUGCACACACCGCCCGUCAAACCAUGCGAGUUGGGUUUGAGUG
rnacentral:rRNA from 1 species